rnacentral:rRNA from 1 species
CACGUAGGGGGCGAGCGUUGUCCGGAUUUAUUGGGCGUAAAGAGCUCGUAGGCGGUUCACGUCGGUGGUGAAAACUCUGGGCUCAACCCAGAGACGCCACCCGAUACUGCGGUGACUAGAGUCCGGUAGGGGAGUGCGGAAUUCCUGGUGUAGCGGUGAAAUGCGCAGAUAUCAGGAGGAACACCAACGGCGAAGGCAGCACUCUGGGCCGGUACUGACGCUGAGGAGCGAAAGCGUGGGGGAGCGAACAGG